ACUAAAGCACCCUCAAUCUUAGGUCUCCUACUAGAACUACUCAGAGUUUCAAGAGAAGUGGUCUGAAUGUUGGAUCGUUCGUUUUCGGUAAGAAACGAGCAAGAACGUGAGAUGAGGAAUCUUGCAAGUCUUCAGAGGAAACGCGGCAAAAAAUCCCGUUGAAAAACAAAUCGAGAAACCAUCCUACUUCAAAAUGAGAGGAAGAAGACGAACGGCAGAGGGACGCGUGUCAAGAAGGGAGAGGGCCGUGAGUCGUCGGGAAAAUGGGACAUGUGUCUGGCGUGGAAUGGCGGAGGAAAAUCAUGAAAAAUACUGCGUCAAGUAGGGUCUUAAUUAGCCGAAAAAUAAGCUUCGAAGGGCACGCUUCAUUCCUGUAAGUAACCAUACGGAUUUAGGAAGUAAUACUUGUAGGGCGCGCUUGGUUUUGCAUGCAUGCUAGAGCAAAUUACCGUAGGUAGCUAGUUCUAAUGAUCCUAUAUACUUAGGGAAUUAAAUAUAUAUCGGUUGGACUUGCUGUCCUAGUGAGAUUUUGUACUGGUUAUUUGUAUGCUUGCUGGACUAUCUUACUAUUGCUUUUAUCUGUUCAUACUAUGU